CCUCGUGUCGUACGAGCAGGAAACGCACGAGCGAGCGGUCGUUCCGCGGCGGGAGAGUCAUCCUCUCUCGCGAUACAUCGAACGCCGCGCGGGAUUUCUCGAACGUUCGACAGCGCAGCUGCUGCACUCCGCGGCACUCUGCCGCACUCUUUCUCGCAGAAGGUGCGAACGAUCAGCUGGUGUGGUGCGAUCAGCUGCAGCAUUCCGACAUUUUCGACGAUCGUUCGACUUCUUUUUGGAUGAAACGUUUAUGGUAUUUACUUGUUGUUUAUUAUUUAUUAUUUAUUAUAGUAGAGCCAUUUGUGUAAUGCCAUGUGGUUGUUCAUACAAAAUCAUUUCUAUAUCCUUUCGAGCUUACGUUUGAAAGAAAACUGCUAGGCCCCGAUUUCACCAACUCCGGUUACCUUAACCGGCCGGUUAUUUCAUUGGAAUUGACCAAUCGCAUUUGUUAAUUUUGCUUAACGACAAAUACGAUUAGUCAAUUCCAAUGGAAUAACCGGCCGGUUAAAGUAACCGGAGUUGGUGAAAUCGGCCCCUAGAGCGUUAUUUUCUUUCUUCUUCUCUUCUUUUAUUACAAUAAAAAUAUUUUUUGUUCUAUGUAUUAGAAGUGCAAGACGAACAAUUGAAAAAGCGCGAAUAUUCAAACGUUUCGAGAGCUCGCCGUUUGAUUCGGAAUUCUUCUCAAAUCGAAUCUAAUCGAGUUCGAAGAAUCGAAUCGCUGAUGAGAUUCGAUAUUGUCUGUUUCGACUUAGCUUUUCGACAUAUCGAUUGUACCGUCUAAAAGUUUUUCAAACAGAAUCUAAAGAAUUUAUCACGAAUUUUGCCGAGCAAUGGAUAAAUUUUUCGAUAAAAUUGUUAACAAUUUACAUUUAACUCUUAAAGUUACAUGCUGAAGAUUACAAAAAUUUAAUAAUCAAAUUUGGAUUUUAUUGAAUGUUAAGAUCUCUACGAUAGGAUGUAAAAUAUGAAUAAUAAAUAUACAAAAUAAAUUUUACUUCUUUUACGUAAAAAUUCUUUUUAUUGUUAUAUAAUGGAAAUUUUUAGUUACUUUAUAUUGUAUUCUGACGUAUCGUAACACGGUAAAACAUAAUUUUUGCUUCUCUUUUCUUGAUUUUACCUUGCUUUCAAUUUACAGAAUUUGUUUCACAAAUAUUGUAAAUAACAAAAAAAAUCUGCAAUUUAUGCUACUAUUUUGCGUAACAAAAUCUUAGGUAUUAAAGGGAAUUAUAUAAUUUUUUGUAAACACGUCUGUUUUCCUCGCCGCUACGAGGUAUGUUUAUGCAAUUUAUCGUAAUGAAGUCGUCUUCUAAUGGCGUUUUGUCAUGCUAGAUCAUCUCGCCGCGAACUUUCUUCCUCCGCGGCGGCAGGAAGUCGCGCGCGUGAUGUUCGCGCGCAUCCAACAUCGCCAGCGGGGGCCGCUGAAUAUUCGCGGCAUCGUAAUCGCGUACGACGAUUGAAGAUAAUGCGACUUAAUUUCUACGAUGAGCGCGCAAAGCUGGCUGGUCGCGCGCGGUGCGACACAUCGCGCGUAUCGUCACGUUGCGUUCGACGAGAUUUAAGUCGUGUACGUCCCCCGCGUACGUUUACAACUUAUUGUAAACGUAUACAACUAUAAUUUUUUUAUCCACGAAGGAAUAAGUAUAAUAACUAAGCUCGUCGCAUUUUCUCCCGACUCGCGCCGAGUUCGAACCUUUUCCUCCAUGCAGAAUUGAAUCGGAGAAAAAGAAUCUUCUCUCCUCUCCCCUUUUCACCGUUAAUUGUUGUUUGUCUCUUCGAUGGUCAUCUUCAAUCGGUUACCGUUUACGUUUUGCAAAAAUGUCUCUCGCUGCCGCAGACAAGCCUGAAUACCGGUAGCGCAAUCGCGCGUAUGUGUGCGUGUACGCGAUAACGUUGAUCGUUGCAUAAUCCUCCCGGUAAUGGUUGCAACACCAUUGUGCCAUCCGCGUCAUUAACGCCGAAGGCAUUGUUGCAUCGCGGCGGCACCGCUUGUUUUUGCCUUGAGCAUUCUUCGGGAGAGCUAUUAAUACUGAAACUUUAAUAGAGUUCCAUCGCGAUGAGCGAGUUGCGGACGAAGAUGAAAAAGAGCCGCGACUCCUCGAGAGAGAGGCGCAUCGUCUUGGGUUAAACGGUUUGCAUCGGUAUCGGCGAACAAUAGUGCGACAUUGAACAAGCUGAAAGACGAGAAUUGCAAAAAUAUAUAGAGAGGAGGAGACGAAAGUAAAUAUUAAUUGAUAUAAAACCGAUAUGCAUAACAGAAUGGAGAGGAGAGGGAGAGAAAGAAAAGUCGCAGCAGAAUUCCACGUAGUAAAAAGUUUUGUAUACAUUUAGCAUAAUUUAACAUAAUAUGAAUACGUUAGAAAGUAACGCAAAUAUUAUGUGAAAAAUGUACAUUUUGACAUAAUUUGGAAAUAAAUCGUAGAAGCAUAUUUCUUCAGUGAAAUUAACAUUUAUAAUUUGUUGGCAGGGACUCAUUUAUUUCAUUUUUCUGCGUUUCAGAAUUAUAUAUUAGUUUUAUAUCAUGUUUAUUUGCUCAUAAAUAAUAUUAUUGUAACACUAAGAAAUGUUGUGAAUAUCGAUUUAACACACAAAAUUCAAAGGACACAAUUUCGCUACGUUAAAUCAAUAUUUGAAUGUGUCAAAAAUUUAACACAAAAUUUGUAAGGACUUAUUUUAACAUAAAUUGCAAAUAUCUUUUAUUGCAAACAAUACAAAUUUUUAUGUUAUUUUAUAUAUAUUUUUUUAGUUUCUUUAAGCUGCGCAACGGUACUUUUUCAGAACGUAGUUCUUAAACCGAAUCGGAAUAAUAUCACAACAUGAAAUUGAUAAUAAUUUAAUCGUACUGACGCUAACAAGAACCUCUAAUUAUAUUGACGUCAAUAAUGUCUUAAAAUAUAACAAAGAACUUAAAAAAACCUACAUAUAUAGAUAUCUAGGUUUGUUAAAUAUGCGCGGGAGAGAUUGGGGGGGUUGGGGGGUAUGCUAAAGACGUCGUGCAUUUUAAAUGAAAGAAGUUAUCUUGUUUGUUUACGAAUCAAUUAGUCAACUUAUAGAUCGACGAGCGCAACGACGUUACGAGGCUGUUUAAAGAAAGCGACGGAUCGUCGCGCAGCGACAUUGACCCAA
rnacentral:lncRNA from 1 species